GAUGAACGCUGGCGGCGUGCCUAAUACAUGCAAGUCGAGCGAACAGACGAGGAGCUUGCUCCUCUGACGUUAGCGGCGGACGGGUGAGUAACACGUGGAUAACCUACCUAUAAGACUGGGAUAACUUCGGGAAACCGGAGCUAAUACCGGAUAAUAUAUUGAACCGCAUGGUUCAAUAGUGAAAGACGGUUUUGCUGUCACUUAUAGAUUGAUCCGCGCCGCAUUAGCUAGUUGGUAAGGUAACGGCUUACCAAGGCAACGAUGCGUAGCCGACCAGAGAGGGUGAUCGGCCACACUAGAACUGGGACACGGUCCAGACGCCUACGGGAGGCAGCAGUAGGGAAUCGGCGGCAAUGGGGGAAAGCAUGACGGAGCAACGCCGCGUCAGUGAUGCAGGUCUUCGGUGAGUAAGACUAUGUUAUUAGGGAAGAACAAAUGUGUAAGCAACUAUGCAGGUAUUGACGGUACCUAAUGAGGAAGCGACGGCUAACUACGUG
rnacentral:rRNA from 1 species